CUUGGAGGGCAAGCAGCACACAGAAACCACUGCAACUGCCCUAACAGGUCAAGAGAAAUUAUUAAACUGAAACCUGUGGAGGGGAAAAAAUGAAAACACAGGAAGAGUCUCUAAAAUCUAUAAAAUAGUAUCAAAUGACCUGACAUAUAUGUAACUUGAGUCUCAGAAGGGGAGGAGUGAGCAAUGAACCAAAGAAAUUUUUGAAGAGAUAAAGGCUGAGAAUUUUCCAAAACUGAUGGAAGACAUCAAACCACAUACCAAAAGGACACAGAACCCUCAGAAGGUAAAGACAAAGACAACUUCAUAAGUCAAAAGGCUGGAAAUGAAAGAUAAGGAAAAUUUUGCAGGCCAUCAGGAACAAAAGGCAAAUUAUAUCAAGGGGGAAGAGGGGGCUUUCUGAUUUUUAAUCAGAAAAAGUGAAGCCAAGAAGACCAUGAAAUGGCAACUUCAAAGGUCCCAAAGGAAAGAGAAACUCAUAGGACUUUAUAUCCAGGUUUGCUCCCAGACACCUGUCUGGACCAGGAGGGGUAGUACCUUCAUUGUGUGUCAAGUCCAGGGAUACGAGAGCCAGUUUCUUCAUUAUAGUCCAAAGUCCACUAAGACGGUCCCGGGGCCCAAGGACCACCCCCUCCUUCUGCAGCUCUGAGCUCAGCAGAACUCCCAAGAGAGCAUCUUUCAUUAACACAGUGGUUCCUAGCCUUGAUACUCACCUGGAGAACCACCUGUGAAGCUUUGAAGAAUUAUAUGCAUCCAGGCCCCACACCCUGAGAUUCUGAUUUAGUCAUUCUGGGGUUGGUGGCUGCUGUUGUUCAGCGGCUCAGGAGUGUCUGACUCUGUGACCUCACGGGCUGCAGCCCGCCAGGCUUCCCUGUCCUUCACCAUCUCCCUGAUUUUGCCCAAGUUCAUGUCUACUGAAUCGGUAAUGCCAUCCAUCUCCAAUUCAAUGGACAUGAACUUGGCCAAACUCUUGGGAGAUGGUGAGGGUUGGGCCUGGGCUUUUAUUUUUAUUUACCAAGAAAAUUAUAGUGAGCAACUAGUGGGGGGUGGUUAAAACCUAUUAUUUAAAUAGGAUUCUUUCUCCUUUAAGAGAGACAUGAUUUUACAUAUCAGCGUUAUUCCCUAUGUUUCUAAACGUUAAGGGCAUCCUGUUAAAAGUGGUUUUAGAAGCAGCACGGGCAGCAUGGCCAUUCUGCUGAUGUGCUCUCAAUUUGGAUGCAUGUUGGUAAUACAAGAGAAAUUUUCAAUGUCCUGCUGCCUGGAUCCCUCAGCUUCCCUGGUGGCUCAAGUAGAAAAGAAUAGGUCUGCAAGGCAGCAGACAUGGGAGAUGCGGGUUUGAUCCUUGGAUCAGGAAGCUCCCCUGGAGAAAGAAGUAGCAACCCCCUCCAGUAUUCUUGUCUGGAGAAUUCAUGGACAGAGGAGCCUGUAGGCUACAGCCCAUGGGGUUGCAAAGAGUCAGACAUGGCUGAGCACGCACACACUCUGCCUGGAUCCUCAGAGAUCCUGACUAAUCUGAAUGGGUUACAGCCUGGGAGUCCAGAUUUUUAUAAGCUCCACUGCUUGUGAGAUUUUAAAAGGUGCGGGUCAGCAGCACAAGGCUGGGGGCAGGGGUUGACCUCCGCGAGGCCAUCAUGGAUCACAAGCAAGAGCAGGGGAGUCACAGGCACUCCCAGCCCUGGGUCUGCUGGCCUGCCUUAUCUGUGCUCAGUCACCACUUCCACUCCUCAGCAGGGCAUCCCCAGGCCCCUCUGGCCCACUUAACCUUAGCGGCCAGCCCAGCCCACUGCCUGCUCAAUGUAAGAGCUGCUCCUACAGAGUUCACAUGCCUUCCCCUGGUACCUAAUGCUCACGCACAAAGUGGAAACUUUGUUACAUCAAAGCUGAAGGGUUGUCAGGAAACAAGUAUUUGCUGCUGUCUGGGUGUCCUAGAGCAGCAGGCACAGGCCCGGGGGCGGGGGGGGGGGGGGCGCAACAAUGAUUCCUGAGCACCCCUGUGAGGCUGUCAGAACCCUCAGCAAUCAUCACCACCACAGGAAACACUGCUCCUGGCCACGGAGCAGCUGGCCCCCUCCCUACUCUCAUGGUUGGGCAAGAAGUUUAGUCUCCCAGCCCCAGUACCAGGAUCACAGCAUUCAGCCAAGGUUAUGUUGCCAAGUCCAAGCUCAUUCUGCCUGCCUGAUGCACAGUGAACAAAUAUUGAAACACCAGAGGCUGGGACAGAGGUUUAUUACAGGACCACGGAAGGAGAACCAGUGACCUGUGCACAAAAAACCCUGAACUCCCCCAGAUGGUUUCAGCAAAGCCUUUUUAAGGGCCAAGUGCAGAAAGUGGGUCACAGGGUAUGUGAUCAGCUCCUACACAGUUCUCCGACUGGUUGAUGUGCCUACUUCUUCAUCAUCACUGAAAUUCAGAGUCUCUCAAAGAAUGCUCUCAAGAUCAUACAGUCACAUCACCUGGGCUAUCUGUCCAAAGCUCAGACUCCUAGACCUACCCCAGCUCCACUGAGUCACACGUACAGCAGGAGCAGAUAUCUGUAGCCUGAGCAAGUACUCUGGGUCACGUAAAGAUUGAGCAUCCUGAUCAGAGGUCACACCCUGUGACGCAGAAGCCUGGAUUCCCGGGUGCGAGUACUAGUUUGGCAGCUCACUGACUCUGGAGCCUUGAGCAAACGCUCCCGGUUCCAGUCUCCUCCUCUGGAAGUUGGAGCUGAAGUAUGAUCAGCCUUCUAGGACCGUGACGAGGAGUGAAAGAGCUAACUCAGGUGACACGCUUGGAAGAGUACCAGCCUGGGAUGGAAACAGACUUCAUCAAUAACUAACAGAAAAAUUCCAUUCACCCACCCAGAGACUGGAGUCAACAUACUAGCUAGCUGACUGAUUGAAAUAUGUUUCCUUUUUAAUAUAAUUUCUUUAUACAUAUGUUAUUUAAAUAUUAUAU
ensembl:lncRNA